rnacentral:rRNA from 1 species
CAGCCGCCGCGGUAAUACGGAGGGAGCUAGCGUUGUUCGGAAUUACUGGGCGUAAAGCGCACGUAGGCGGUUAUUCAAGUCAGAGGUGAAAGCCCGGGGCUCAACCCCGGAACUGCCUUUGAAACUAGAUGACUGGAAUCUUGGAGAGGUCAGUGGAAUUCCGAGUGUAGAGGUGAAAUUCGUAGAUAUUCGGAAGAACACCAGUGGCGAAGGCGACUGACUGGACACGUAUUGACGCUGAGGUGCGAAAGCGUGGGGGGCAAACAGGAUUAGAUACCCCUGUAGUCCCUGUCUCUUAUAC